rnacentral:rRNA from 1 species
CUCAGGGAGGUAGUGACAAGAAAUAACAACACUGGAAAUUUUAUUUCUAGUGAUUGGAAUGAUGGGAAUUUAAACCCCUUUCAGAGUAACAAUUGGAGGGCAAGUCUGGUGCCAGCAGCCGCGGUAAUUCCAGCUCCAAUAGCGUAUAUUAAAGUUGUUGCAGUUAAAAAGCUCGUAGUUGGAUGUCUGCUGGAAGCAAUCAGUCCGCCCUAUUUGUAGGGUGUGCACUUGAUGAAUUCUGGCAUUUUUGUCCCAAUGAUGUAACGGAGCGGUGGUAUUCGGUGAAAGCCGAGUAUCCUGUUUUCCGAUUAUUGGGAUACUGUUACUUUGAGAAAAUUAGAGUGUUUGAAGCAGGCUAAUUGCCUUGAAUACUGCAGCAUGGAAUAACAAUAUAGGAUUUCGGUUCUAUUUUGUUGGUUUCUAGGACUGAAAUAAUGAUUAAUAGGGACAGUUGGGGGCAUUCGUAUUUAACUGUCAGAGGUGAAAUUCUUAGAUUUGUUAAAGACGAACUACUGCGAAAGCAUUUGCCAAAGAUGUUUUCAUUAAUCAAGAACGAAAGUUAGGGGCUCGAAGACGAUCAGAUACCGUCGUAGUCUUAACCAUAAACUAUGCCGACUAGAGAUAGGAAAUUGUCAUUUUACUUGACUU